rnacentral:sRNA from 1 species
AUUAUUUUUUUUAAAAUUAUAAAAAAGAAUCCUUUAUUGCAAAAAAUUUUGCAAAUUGUGUUUUAAAAAAACCGAAACCACCAAAUUAUAUUGUUCGCGGAUAAUUUAAAAAAUUAUCCAAUUUUUCCCAUAUGGACGAAAACUGGUUUUGAAUAUAAUACGAAAAAUUCAAAUAACGUAUUACAAUAUAUUUUAAAUUGGGCAAAACGCGCAAAAUUUGUAAAUAAUAUUGGCGGUUUUUAUAACGUACGAAAAAAAACCUUUAUUAAAACCAACGGUAAAAAAUUAACGUUUUACCAUUUCCAUAUUAUAUUAAUUUUAUUAUAGGAAAUAAUAGUUAAUCGGUCGAACAAUUCCAAUUUUUUGCGGAUUAUAAAAAUUUAUUAAUUUUUUAAAAAUAUUAUUUGGGUGCAAUAAAUAUAAUGGAUGGCGUGGUAAAUUAUUUGGGAAUGGAUAUUAAACGUAAUUUUAUUAAAAAUUUCCGAUCGGUAACGAUAAAAUGGGAUAGCGAUUUGGUUUUGCAAUUUCCGGUACGGGAAAUCGACCAAUUAAAAUAAAACGAGGAAUAUAUUCGAUUAAAAAAAGAUAUUUUUACAUUUAAUAUUUUUAUCGACGGCGUUUUUUUUAAAAAAAAGAAAUACGAAUAAUAUAUAACCGUUCGCAAACAGGCGUACGAAAAUCGUCGAAAAUUCGUAAAAUAAAAAUUUCAAAAAUACCGGCAAUAUGCAAUUAAUUAGCAAAACGAUUGGUACCGGGACCACCUUUUUCGCGUAAUUUAUAUAAUAUUUGAACGCCACCGGCUAUUCCGCAUUUUGGCUUAAAAAAAACCGUUUCGAAAUCCAACAGGCAUUUUAACGUUGGAAAAUUUUAUUGUUUUUCGCACAGGGGAUUGGCAGGUCGCAUACCAAUUUCAACUAAAGUUUAAAAACGGUAUAUACCCCGUAAAAUUCUGCAAUAAAAUAAUUGAAAAAUAAUUGUAAAAUAUAAUAUGCCAACAAUAUACGCUAAUUACCCCAAAAUACGUUAUUAAUUAUUUAUAUUGGUUUUUAAUUUCCACGUUUCGCAAAAAUGGUUGCAUAUAUAUCGAUAUUUUAAAAAACGUUUUAAAACCGAUUAUAAAUUCGCCAAAUUUUGUUUCCUAUAUAACUAUUAGGUUACAAAUAAGCAAAAAUGGGAAUAUUAUUGCCAAAAAUAUAUUAACGACGGGGAUAUACCAUUUCGAUAUAAUCCUGUUAUUUUCCGGCACGUUUAUAUAUAUAUUAGAUAUUAUUUUAUUUAUUUA